rnacentral:rRNA from 1 species
UACGGGGGGGGCAAGCGUUGUUCGGAAUUACUGGGCGUAAAGGGCUCGUAGGCGGCCAACUAAGUCAUACGUGAAAUCCCUCGGCUUAACCGGGGAACUGCGUCUGAUACUGGAUGGCUUGAGUUCGGGAGAGGGAUGCGGAAUUCCAGGUGCAGCGGCGAAAUGCGUAGAUAUCUGGAGGAACACCGGUGGCGAAGGCGGCAUCCUGGACCGAUACUGACGCUGAGGAGCGAAAGCCAGGGGAGCAAACGGG